UACGAAGGGGGCUAGCGUUGCUCGGAAUCACUGGGCGUAAAGGGUGCGUAGGCGGGUUUUAAGUCAGGGGUGAAAUCCUGGAGCUCAACUCCAGAACUGCCUUUGAUACUGAAGAUCUUGAGUUCGGGAGAGGUGAGUGGAACUGCGAGUGUAGAGGUGAAAGUUCGAUAGAUAUUCGCAAGAACACCAGUGGCGAAGGCGGCUCACUGGCCCGAUACUGACGCUGAGGCACGGAAAGCGAUGGGGAGCAAACAGGG
rnacentral:rRNA from 1 species